CCUACGGGAGGCAGCAGUGGGGAAUAUUGCACAAUGGGGGGAACCCUGAUGCAGCGACGCCGCGUGGGUGAAGGAGUACUUCGGUACGUAAAGCCCUAUUAGCAGGAAAGAAAAUGACGGUACCUGACUAAGAAGCCCCGGCCAAAUACGUGACAGAAGGCGGGGGUAUACGUAGGGGGCAAGCGUUAACCGGAUUUUCGGGGUGUAAAGGGAGCGUAGACGGCAGUGCAAGUCCGGAGUGAAAGCCCGGGGCUCAACCCUGGGACGGCUCUGGAAACUGCAAAGCGGGAGUGCGGGAGGGGCAGGCGGAAUUCCUGGUGUAGCGGUGAAAUGCGUAGAUAUCAGGAGGAACACCGGCGGCGAAGGCGGCCUGCUGGACCGAAACUGACGUUGAGGCUCGAAAGCGUGGGGAGCAAACAGGAUUAGAUACCCUUGUAGUC
rnacentral:rRNA from 1 species